rnacentral:rRNA from 1 species
GACAGAGGGUGCAAACGUUGUUCGGAUUUACUGGGCGUAAAGCGCGUGUAGGCGGCUUCGUAAGUUGGAUGUGAAAUCCCACGGCUCAACCGUGGACGUGCAUCCAAAACUACGUCGCUGGAGUCUCGGAGAGGAAGGUGGAAUGCUUGGUGUAGAGGUGAAAUUCGUAGAUAUCAAGCAGAACACCUGCGGCGAAGGCGGCCUUCUGGACGAUGACUGACGCUGAGACGCGAAAGCGUGGGAGCAA